GCCUAUGGUAACAUCUCCGUUUUCAGAAGCUCAGAAAAGUAAGCUGCUUGCUCAAGAAUGGACGGCUUCAAGGUGGCAGAGCUGGAAGUUUCUAACUCACUCACCUCAUACUCAGACCUGCACUGUUUUUCAAGACAGUCAAUAUUUCAGGCCAUCUACUGAUUGGAUGAGGCCCACCAGCAUUCUGAAAGACAAGGAAUCUGAGACCUGGCUGGGAGAAGAGGACUUGCCUAAAGUUAUCCCACACAGCAAAUUAGUUGGAAAACCAGGAUAGUUGAGUAAAUAUCCUGGAGCCCAGCCAAGUAAUGAAGCCAGAAUUCAGAAAGCUGUUUUGGCUAGAUCUUGGAUUUUUACAAUAAAGGGUCUGUAAGGGAUAUUUGUGAAAAAUGUUGACACUUGACGGCUGUCCUGAUUCAUUCAGCUACCUAGGUUAUCUCUGCCUCUCUUUGACUUGUGUUUUGUCUUUUAAGAUGGCAGUCUUGCUCUUUUGCCUGGGCUGGUCUUGAACUCCUGGGCUCAAGCAGUUUUCCUGCUUUAGCCUCCUGAGUAGCUGGGGCUACAGGAGGACAUCACUGUGCCCAGCUCUCUCCGUAUCUUUGACUAGGUUAUUUUACAACCCCAUACGAUAGAAAUGAAGUUAUAGAAAACUGAUAGGAAUACAAAUAAUUAUUAUCCAUGGAAAUGCAAAUUGGAUCUAAUGGAAUGAAACUGAUUUUUUUUCCAGCAGAUAGUGACCACCUUUGUAUCCUUUUGUAAAUUCAUUUCAGCAUUCCAUAUUUGACUAAAAAUGUGUGACACUCCCAAUUUGCUUUUGAAUUCAUUGUAAUAUCUACCAAUUCCCUCAUUAAUUAAUGAGUUAAAUAAAGCCUUUGGC
rnacentral:lncRNA from 1 species